AUGACCGUCCAGCAGGAGUGCCUUGCCGAAUUUGCGCCUAUGCUCGUUCCCGUUGGCGAGGAGGAGGACGAGUCCUCGUUCAGGGUCAUCUGCACGGCGUGCUACAAAACCAAGUUGGUCGCGUUUGUCUUCUCUUCCAUCACCGGACAAUGGUGUGUUGCUGCAUCUCCCAGCUGGAGCUCUUUGGGCACAGUUGAGCCCUCUUGGAAUGGCCUGUUCCGUUUCAACUACGUGCGUGGCUGCUUCUACUGGCCGGCUCUUUGGAGGGACAAGUUGCUCAUGCUGGACAUGCGCUUAAUGGAGUUCUCCAUUGUCAACAUUCUCACCGGCUACCAUGUGCAGCUUACAAACCAGCCUGGACAGAGUGUAUGCAUGUCUACUAUUGUUGAUGGCGCAGAAGGAGCCCUCGAGAUGUUUACUCUGGUCGCUGUUUACAGCCCUACCACAUUUUAUCUCCAUCAUACCACUCGACAAAACAACGGCGAAUCUCCCAAAGAGUGGCAGCUGAAAAAUGUUAUAGCACUGCCUCCUCGAUGUCGCUAUUUCACUGUGGGUGCAACUGAGAGAUUCUUAUUCCUUCGAUGUAUUCGAAUAGCUCAGUGGGAUGAUACUGCACGUGGGUUGUUGCCCGAGGAUAACGAGUUUGAUUUGUUUUCUCUGGAUGUCAAGACCUCGGAACUUAAGAAGGUCUGCAGAGCAAAACACUAUUAUCCUCCCAAUCUAGUUCACUCCUACUUUGGCUUCCCACCAUCAUUGUCGAAACCGAGUCUAUGA
rnacentral:rRNA from 1 species